rnacentral:lncRNA from 1 species
UUAAGGAGAGUCUCAUAAUCAUUAAUUCCUCAAUCAUGAUGUUUCUCAUAACUUCCACAUGCAACUUCUUUUCCCUCCCAAUAUUUCUGAAUGACUUAAAAACUGCCAUUUCCUUGUGUUGUGCAAUAAUAUAGAUAUGAGAAAAUUGAGCUAUGAGUGAUCCCUUUCCAAGCUAACCGUUCUGCCAAAAGCUGAUUCUAUUUCCUGUGCCAACCCUCCACCUAAUACAAUCCUAGAAUUUAUUUCAAUCCAUGCAUAUUUUCUUCCACAUACCCUUUCCACGUGGUCUCGUCAAUAUUUUAGAGGACCAACCUUUACUCAUAGUGUCGAACUUCGCCACUAUCACCCUCCAUCAUAGGAUACUAUUUUCUUUUAUAAAUCUCCAUAGUCACGUUGUAUGCCACAUUCAUCUCCACUAAAGAUCUCAACCUCAAACCUGCAUGAACAUUGGCUUUUUGAUCUCAUCCAGCGCUACUAAGUGAUAUCUUUUCCUAUCCUCAGAGUUGCCUCAAAGGAAUCUACACUGGAUUGAUUAUAGUUUCUUGGCAACAGUCAUCAGGAUUGUCAAAAGAGGCAUGUAAUAGAAUGAGAGGUUUACUGACAUACUUUUAGUGGGUGUGAGUCUCCCUUUUUUAACAAGAGCUUUCUCUUCCAUCCUGGUAACCUCCUCUCAAAUCCUGCCGCUACAGGAUCCUACAUCCUCACAUCUUUAUAUUUGGCCCCCUCAAAGGUAACCUCAAGAACUUACUCGAUAACUCCACAAUUUUAUAUCCCAUGACUCUCCAACCUAGAAGUAUUCCUUUU